rnacentral:tRNA from 1 species
GCGCCAAUAGCUCAAUUGGAUAGAGCAUUUGACUACGGAUCAAAAGGUUGGGGGUUCAAAUCCUCUUUGGCGCGCCA